UGGCUCCAGCAUCGAUGAAGAACGCAGCGAAAUGCGAUAACUAAUGUGAAUUGCAGAAUUCAGUGAAUCAUCGAGUCUUUGAACGCACAUUGCGCCCGCCAGUAUUCUGGCGGGCACGCCUGUCCGAGCGUCAUUUCAACCCCUCAGGCCCUGCCUGGUGUUGGGGCCACGCGGCUGCCGCGUGCCCCUAAAAGAAGUGGCGGCUCUGUAGCAGAACCGAGCGUAGUAACUACUCCAGCUCUGGGCCCUGCUACGGUGCCGGCCGUCAAACGCAACAGCGGCUUGCCGCGCUAUGUUGACCUCGGAUCAGGUGGGAAUACCCGCUGA
rnacentral:misc_RNA from 1 species